rnacentral:lncRNA from 1 species
UUGCGCAUGCGGGAAACCCACGCUGAGGGAAGAAUCAUGGGAAAGAGUAGAGACGGGGUUCCACCGUGUUAGCCAGGAUGGUCUCGAUUUCCUGACCUCGUCAUCCUCCCGCCUUGGCCUCCCAAAGUGCUGGGAUUACAGGCUUGAGCCACCGCGCCCCGCUCUUUCGUGUUCCAAAGGCUUUUUAAAUAAACUUCCACUCCUGUCCUGGAUUCUGCUUUAUGGCCCUCAGUCGAAUUCUUUCUUCUGAGGAGGCAAGGACUGAAGUUGCUUCUGACCAGUACAGGAGAAAACGAAUACAGCAGGGAUGACUUCCACCAGCUCCACUUUGCAGCUCUGAGGUGUAUUAAAAAUAAACCUAGAGCCCCACCAAAUGAAUCCGCUGGCACGUGGACCUCAGAUGGGGGAAACUGAGGACUGAAUUCUGACCACCCUCCUUUGUUCUAAAUUUCUUCCUGAAGGACCUGGAAGAAGUCAUGCCACGGGCCAGACCUUAACAUUCCUUUCGGCUUACCCCAGGAUUUCAGACAAAGCUUCACUUUCCUAACCAGUCACAAAUCAGAGAAUUUUUGAUUCCACCUAUGACCUGUGAGCUCCUGCUUCAAGAUAUUCCACCUUUUUUAGGCCAAACCAAUGUAUAACCUCCAAGUGUCGAUUUACACUUUCGACUGUAACUUCUGCUUUCCUGAGAUUUACCCCUGCCUUUAAAAACCCUUGCUUGUAAUCCCUCAGGGAGGCCGUGUAUUUAUUAAUCAUGAGCUGCCCAAUUCUCCUUGCUUGGUGCCCUGCAAAUAAACACCCUCUUUUCUCCC